rnacentral:lncRNA from 1 species
AGCUAUUCAAGCAGAGAUUACCCAAGUUCUCGUGAUACUAGAGAUUAUGCACCACCACCACGAGAUUACACUUACCGUGAUUAUGGUCAUUCCAGUUCACGUGAUGACUAUCCAUCAAGAGGAUAUAGCGAUAGAGAUGGAUAUGGUCGUGAUCGUGACUAUUCAGAUCAUCCAAGUGGAGGUUCCUACAGAGAUUCAUAUGAGAGUUAUGGUUGGUGAUUUUGCUCAUUAUGGUCAUGGAGUGCUGAUUGAUUCACAGUAGAUAAAGCUGGCAGUAAGAAAUGUUAAGAGUUGUUGAAGCAGAAGGCGGCUGAUUGUCAAUAAGUCACUACAGUUGCAUAAGCAGUGCUGUCAGAAUUGGUUUGGUGCAGGCAAUAGAUUUUGCCUUCAGGGGUUCCUGUGGAUCUGAGGAAGGCAUCAGUGUUGAUUAACACUCAUAACUAGGGAGUGACUGGUAGUUACUUAAAGCAAGUAAUUGACCAAAUGGAAAAGGGGAAGUAAUUAAGGAAAUUGGUAAGUGGAGGUAGUCAGGAAGUUCUUGUGGUUCUUUACAUAGAUUUUACAGCUUUGGCUUUCAUUUUGUUUAGCUAAAGUCAUGGGGACAACUCUUCAAUUUAGAACUUAAGUUGAAUUAUAAAAAUGAUGGAUAUAAGUGGUAGCUGUAUCUAGUGAAGUGUCUGUCAGUAAGUGAAACAUUUUUUGGUGGUGGCUUAUCCACAAACAGUUUAGUUGUAGAAUAAAACUUAUGAGUGACAUCUGGAAAGUAACCAUGCUAAGAUGGCAAGCACACUGGAAACAAUUAGGCCACUUGGCUUUCUUUUGCUGUAUUGUUUUAUAAGCCUACUUUACCUCCCAGUCUUGGAAACAAGUUUUAGUUUUUUAUUGGUUUGGAGACUAGAGCCAAUAGUAUAAUGUUCUCAAAGGAAACAGACUUGAGUUGUUGGAUUAGAGGAACUAACCCAACUUCUAUGAUUUUUUUGUUUGUUUGUUUUUGUCGUGUAGUUAUGGCACUGUCUUAUUUGGAACAUUUGCAACUAGGGAUAAUACAACAUUUUUAACUCUCAUUUGACAACCUACUGCUAAUCACAGACCACAAGGGUAAUGACCAAAUUUAUGUGGUUUUUGCACUCCAUAGUUGUCUUAGCCCAAUCUUUCUAUACUCUUACGAUUACUUGGGUUAACGCUUCUGUGAGGACCUUCUGGCUCUUGAGAUACCCUAAAUAUUUAAGAUAUUUAGAUAUCUUGAAGAUAGUAUAGGAUAUAGAGAUUGUACCAAAUAGGAAUAUAAGGAGUAUGUUAAAAUGACCAGAUACCUGUUUGAUAGUUUACUGACCUAGCAGAUGUGUGGAAAAGGAAUCAGAUCUUGAUUCUUCUGGGUUUAUACUGGUUGUAAAACAGAAUGAUACAGAAAAUGUUUUCCUUGUUUAACUGGUAGUUGAACAUAGAACUUGGGUAUUAUAGAUCACUUUUCACUUUUUGGAAUGUUUUGUAUUGAAACUUAAUAAAACUUUAACAUGGC